rnacentral:rRNA from 1 species
CCUACGGGAGGCAGCAGUGAGGAAUAUUGGUCAAUGGACGAGAGUCUGAACCAGCCAAGUAGCGUGAAGGAUGACUGCCCUAUGGGUUGUAAACUUCUUUUAUAAAGGAAUAAAACGAGGCACGUGUGCCUUUUUGCAUGUACUUUAUGAAUAAGGAUCGGCUAACUCCGUGCCAGCAGCCGCGGUAAUACGGAGGAUCCGAGCGUUAUCCGGAUUUAUUGGGUUUAAAGGGAGCGUAGAUGGGUUGUUAGGUCAGUUGUGAAAGUUUGCGGCUCAACCGUAAAAUUGCAAUUGAUACUGGCAGUCGUGAGUACAGUUGAGGUAGGCGGAAUGCGUGGUGUAGCGGUGAAAUGCUUAGAUAUCACGAAGAACCCCGAUUGCGAAGGCAGCUUACUAAACUGUGACUGACAUUGAUGCUCGAAAGUGUGGGUAUCAAACAGGAUUAGAUACCCUUGUAGUC